rnacentral:tRNA from 2 species
GAGCCGGUAGCUCAGGCGGCAGAGCAGCGGACUUUUAAUCCGGAGGUCCUGGGUUCGAAUCCCAGCCGGCUCACCA